UACGAAGGGUGCAAACGUUGCUCGGAAUUAUUGGGCGUAAAGCGCACGUAGGCGGCUUAGCAAGUCGGAUGUGAAAGCCCACGGCUCAACCGUGGAAGUGCAUCCGAAACUGCUGAGCUUGAGUACCAAAGAGGAUCGCGGAAUUCCCGGUGUAGAGGUGAAAUUCGUAGAUAUCGGGAGGAACACCAGUGGCGAAGGCGGCGAUCUGGGUGGUUACUGACGCUGAGGUGCGAAAGCGUGGGGAGCAAACAGG
rnacentral:rRNA from 1 species